CGGAGUGAGGGGGAUUCGAACCCCCGGUACAGUCACCCAUACACUCGAUUAGCAAUCGAGCUCCUUCGGCCACUCAGACAUCACUCC
rnacentral:tRNA from 1 species